rnacentral:rRNA from 1 species
UACGGGGGGGGUAAGCGUUGUUCGGAAUUAUUGGGCGUAAAGAGCGUGUAGGCGGCUGGGUAGGUCCGUUGUGAAAACUCGAGGCUCAACCUCGAGACGCCGAUGGAAACCCCCCAGCUAGAGUCCGGAAGAGGAGAGUGGAAUUCCUGGUGUAGCGGUGAAAUGCGCAGAUAUCAGGAAGAACACCCGUGGCUAAGGCGGCUCUCUAGUACGGUACUGACGCUGAGACGCGAAAGCGUGGGGAGCGAACAGG